GACAGCGUAGCUCAGUUGGAAGAGCAUUGGGCUAGUAUUCCAAAGGUCGUAGGUUCGAAUCCCACCGUGGCCG